UCCCUUAGUAGCGGCGAGCGAAGCGGGAGAAGCUCAAGUUUGAAAUCCGGGUCCUGCCCGGAGUUGUAAGCUGGAGGGACGUCUGCCUAAGUCGCCCGGGCUCAAUUUGCUUGGAACAGCAAGUCACUGAGGGUGAGAACCCCGUCCGUGGCCCGGUGAUUGGCUUUGCAGUGCGGCGGCCCCAAUGAGUCGGGUUGUUUGGGAAUGCAGCUCAAAAUGGGUGGUAAAUUUCAUCUAAAGCUAAAUAUUGGCAAGAGACCGAUAGCGAACAAGUAGAGUGAUCGAAAGAUGAAAAGCACUUUGAAAAGAGAGUGAAACAGUGCGUGAAAUUGUUGAAAGGGAAGGGCUUGGCAUCAGCCCAUGACUUUUGUCCAUCAUCCUGGCUUCUGCCUGGUGCAAUGGUCAAGAGUUGGGCCAGCGUCGGCUCCUUCCGCCCUAGAAAGGCCUUGGGGACGUGGCUCCAUCUGGAGCGUUAUAACCCUUGGCGGCAUGGGGUGAGAUGGGGCCGAGGUCCGCGGCAUAGCCCAGGACGCUGGCGUAAUGGUCCCAAGCGACCCGUCUUGAAACAC
rnacentral:rRNA from 1 species